GGGCCCGCACAAGCGGUGGAGCAUGUGGUUUAAUUCGAUGCAACGCGAAGAACCUUACCAGGGCUUGACAUACUACAAAUUCUUUUGAGAAAAAGAAGUGCCUUCGGGAAUGUAGAUACAGGUGGUGCAUGGCUGUCGUCAGCUCGUGUCGUGAGAUGUUGGGUUAAGUCCCGCAACGAGCGCAACCCUUAUUUUAGUUACCAAUUCGUUGGGUUUUUAGAAAGACUGCCGGUGACAAACCGGAGGAAGGUGAGGAUGACGUCAAGUCAGCAUGCCCCUUAUGUCCUGGGCUACACACGUGCUACAAUGGUUAAGACAAAGAGUCGCAAGCUCGUGAGAGUAAGCUAAUCUACUAAACUUAGCCUAAGUUCAGAUUGUAGGCUGCAACUCGCCUACAUGAAGUUGGAAUC
rnacentral:rRNA from 1 species